rnacentral:pre_miRNA from 1 species
UUUUCCACAAGAGUUAUUGUGCACACCUUUUCACACCAAAUCAUCUUUUAUUUGUAUUUGCAUUUCUCUGUAAACACUUAGAUCUGGAAAUGCAAAUACAUUAAGAUGAUUUGGUGUGAAAAGGUGCACAAUAACUCUUGUGGAAAA